rnacentral:lncRNA from 1 species
UCCUCACUGACUAAUUAACAUAGCUAAAUCUUGUUCACUGAUGAACGAUGAUAAUGAGAUUAGUAAAUAAUAUAGAUAACAUGAGCAGAGAGAAGUAGCAGCAUCUAGAUUUUAAAGGUGUUCCUCUGUCCCUAUAUACCGAGUAAUCCUCCUAAAUGCAUCAAUUUUCUCUUUUACUAGACUCUAAGUUGUUUAUAUAGUAACAUUAAGAACCACGCACUGGUCAAGACAAGUCUAUAUAUCAUGUGCUAGUCCUAAUGAUAAUAGCUAGAGUAGAUAAUAAGUUAAAACAACUUCUACAAAUGAAAAAACCAAGAUUAGUCAUCAGUAUAUAUAUACGAAGCAUAUAGAAGAAAAUAUGAAUGUUACCCACACUCAGUUGGGGCUGUGGGUGUCGAACAUUGGUAAAAAUCAACUCGACAUAUACUUAAAUUUCAAAAAAUAUUAGAAUCUAGAACUGGACAAGAAUGCCGGAACUCAGGAUGCAAGGGUAACCCAUAAAAUUUUAUAUAUUCUUAAUUUUUGGACCAUUGGAAAUAUAAUCUAUUACCCCCAAAUAAGAUGGACUUGCAUCUAUAUAAAAAUAUAUGACACAUAUUUUCAAAAAAAUAAUUCAAAAACGAGUUGCCUAGGGGCCUUCAGUUACUAUAUAUGAUUGCCUAGGGGCCUUCAGUUACUAUAUAUAAUUGCCUAGGGGCAUCUAAAUCUUUAUAGAAAUUCCCAGAUAUACUUGUCAAAAUUGAACAUUCUACACGAUCAGGCAGAUUAUCAUCCAGAAUUGAACUAUCAGUUGAUAAUAUUUUUCCAAAUAAAUGACUUCUUAGUCAAUUCCCUCAACUUGUACCGGCUAGUAAGAAGUAUACAAAUUAUCUAUGGGUAUGCUGGGAUAUAAAGAUUUUAUUUCAAAUGAUGUUUUUCUUCCAAACGAUUUUGGAUUUAGAUUAGAUAAAGAGCACCUAAAUAUCAAUUUAAAAUGACAACACAAUUCACGAACAACUCCACAUUUAACACAAUUAUAUGAUAUUUCACAAUGACAUAGGUAAUUGUCACAAAAUUCACAAAUUAGGCCCUAAAUGUUGAUAACUAUCACUAUAAUACAUAAAAUUUAACAAAAAUCUAAACUUAAAAGAUGAGCACCAUAACAUUAUUAAGUCAAUANCAAUCAAAAAAUAAGUGUGUCCUCACACGAUUGCACUAUCCCUAGUUUCACACGAACCACGGGGCUAAUACAAUCUAAGGCAUUUAAUCCAUUUAGAUGUUUUAUAAACCACGAAAGCAUUUAGAUUUGGUAAGAUAUCCCAUUCAGGAUAUGAGUACAUGACUUCCUAAAGAAUGAGGUCAAGUCAUGGCGAAACUGCAAUUAACUAGUUCUCAACGAAGCUAAAAGUCAAGAGAUAAGCUCAAUACUUAUUACUUAUCCUUUAAAAUAUGGAUGCUUGCUUCAAACUGAGCUUGUAAAGAUAAUCUCAACUUUAUGUGGAAUGUUACCUGGAACAGAUAGAUUAACCAGACCUGAAAAGAGAUGAGGAAAACAAAAGAUUAGUUAUAUUAAUAUUUUAUUAAUGUGGAAAUCUUAUUUGGUUCAAUUUCCAAAAUAUCAAUAACAAGAAGAAAAAAAAUUACAAACACCAAAUACAAGAUAGUUUAGUUGCUGUAAUCUUUAUAUCUAGAAUGUGUCCUCAGUCCUCACUGACUAAUUAACAUAGCUAAAUCUUGUUCACUGAUGAACGAUGAUAAUGAGAUUAGUAAAUAAUAUAGAUAACAUGAGCAGAGAGAAGUAGCAGCAUCUAGAUUUUAAAGGUGUUCCUCUGUCCCUAUAUACCGAGUAAUCCUCCUAAAUGCAUCAAUUUUCUCUUUUACUAGACUCUAAGUUGUUUAUAUAGUAACAUUAAGAACCACGCACUGGUCA